rnacentral:rRNA from 1 species
UACGAAGGGGGCUAGCGUUGUUCGGAAUCACUGGGCGUAAAGCGCACGUAGGCGGAUCUUUAAGUCAGGGGUGAAAUCCCGAGGCUCAACCUCGGAACUGCCUUUGAUACUGGGGAUCUCGAGUCCGGGAGAGGUGAGUGGAACUGCGAGUGUAGAGGUGAAAUUCGUAGAUAUUCGCAAGAACACCAGUGGCGAAGGCGGCUCACUGGCCCGGAACUGACGCUGAGGUGCGAAAGCGUGGGGAGCGAACUGG